UACGUAGGGUGCGAGCGUUAAUCGGAAUUACUGGGCGUAAAGCGUGCGCAGGCGGUUCGUUAUGUCCGUUGUGAAAGCCCCGGGCUCAACCUGGGAAUGGCAAUGGAAACUGGCGGGCUUGAGUGUGGCAGAGGGGGGUGGAAGUUCCGCGUGUAGCAGUGAAAUGCGUAGAGAUGCGGAGGAACACCGAUGGCGAAGGCAGCCCCCUGGGCCAACACUGACGCUCAGGCACGAAAGCGUGGGGAGCAAACAGG
rnacentral:rRNA from 1 species